rnacentral:rRNA from 1 species
GAUUAACGCUGGCGGCGUGCAUAACACAUGCAAGUCGAACGAUGAAACUUAACUGAUUUCUUCGGAAUGAUUUUAAGUGGAUUAGUGGCGGACGGGUGAGUAACGCGUGAGUAACCUGCCUUGGAGAAGGGGAUAGCCUUUGGAAACGAAGAAUAAUACCCUAUGAUAUGAUAAUAUCUCAUGAUAUUAUCAUCAAAGAUUUAUCGCUCUAAGAUGGACUUGCGUCUGAUUAGUUAGUUGGUGAGGUAACAGCUCACCAAGGCAGCGAUCAGUAGCCGGCUUGAGAGAGUGUACGGCCACAUUGGGACUGAGACACGGCCCAGACUCCUACGGGAGGCAGCAGUGGGGAAUUUUGCACAAUGGGGGAAACCCUGAUGCAGCGACGCCGCGUGAUUUGGAAGGCCUUCGGGUUGUAAAAAUCUUUUGUAUGGGAAGAAAAUGACAGUACCAUACGAAUAAGGACCGGCUAAUUACGUG